rnacentral:rRNA from 1 species
GACGAACGCUGGCGGCGUGCCUAAUACAUGCAAGUCGAGCGAACCAAUAAGAAGCUUGCUUUUUUGUUGGUUAGCGGCGGACGGGUGAGUAACACGUGGGUAACCUGCCUGUAAGACCGGGAUAACUCCGGGAAACCGGUGCUAAUACCGGAUAGAUUAUCUUUCCGCCUGGAGAGAUAAGGAAAGAUGGCUAUUGCCAUCACUUACAGAUGGGCCCGCGGCGCAUUAGCUAGUUGGNGAGGUAACGGCUCACCAAGGCGACGAUGCGUAGCCGACCUGAGAGGGUGAUCGGCCACACUGGGACUGAGACACGGCCCAGACUCCUACGGGAGGCAGCAGUAGGGAAUCUUCCGCAAUGGACGAAAGUCUGACGGAGCAACGCCGCGUGAGCGAAGAAGGU